rnacentral:rRNA from 1 species
UACGUAGGGUGCAAGCGUUAAUCGGAAUUACUGGGCGUAAAGCGUGCGUAGGCGGCUCUGUAAGUCAGCUGUGAAAGCCCCGGGCUUAACCUGGGAAUUGCGGUUGAAACUACAGGGCUAGAAUCUGGCAGAGGGGGGUGGAAUUCCACGUGUAGCAGUGAAAUGCGUAGAGAUGUGGAGGAACACCGAUGGCGAAGGCAGCCCCCUGGGCUGAGAUUGACGCUCAGGCACGAAAGCGUGGGGAGCAAACAGG